UUUCAUUCAUCAUUUUUUCUCGUCAGCCGCGUUUUCUUACCUUUUCCCACAUGCUAUUCUACUUUUCUCUCUCAAGUUUCAAAAUUUUCCCGUCAAAAUUUUCCUGGAAAAUUAAUCUCUCUCUUCAGUCUGUACAGUUAAGCUCCGGCAGUCCAGCGACGUCGUAUUUUCUGGUCUCUCUUCCAGCUUCCUCGAUCGAAGUUUCUUGCCAAGAAUGUCGAAAGCUGCAGAACAACAGGGAGCUUUGUGUUAGAUGAAAAUCAGAUUUUGGCCUUAUCAAGCACUGAACAUGAGGUGAUUCUAUCAGUCUUUUGAUUGGCAAAUUCAGAAGAUUCUAGUACAAGCAGGUCAUCUGAUCUGACAAGACAACAAUUGAAAAAGUUAUUACGGGUUAUACUUAAUUUCCUGAUGUUCAGAGUCAAUUGGAGAAAGUUGUUUUUUGCUGGUGCCAUAAUUACAAUAGUAGGUGUUGCAAUUCAAAUAUAUACAACUCCUUAUCCACUGACCGGAUGGAUUCCAGAACAUCCGGUAACUUUUUCAUCGUACAAUCCCUUGAACAGUACUAUGAUUUUGAGUGAAACCCUUUCCCUGGCAAGAAUUGAACAGUUGGAACCCGUUCCAAUCACCCCCGACAUUGUGCUGAAUGCUUCCACUGAACUGAAUCAAGAGGAAGGUAAUGAAGUUUCUCAAAAACGAGGUGAAUCUAGAAGACGAAGGAAGACUAUGAAGCAGGAUGUUUUGUUAACUUCUUUCCCUCCUUCUACUUCUCCUUCUCCUCGUGGAAUUGUGCCUUCCCGUUCGCUGAGAUACAUAUGGUCAUUGACGCCUGAUGAGGCACUUCUGUAUGCUAAGAAAGAGAUCCAGAAUGCCUCAAUUGUCACUGAUGAAACAGAUCUAUAUGCUCCUUUAUUCCGGAAUGUUUCUGUUUUUAGAAGGAGCUACGAGUUGAUGGAACUCAUACUCAAAGUUUACAUUUACAAAGAAGGAGCAAGGCCUAUUUUUCAUCAACCCUAUCUAAAAGGAAUUUAUUCGUCUGAAGGAUGGUUCAUGAAGUUAAUGGCUGAAAACAGGCAAUUUGUUACAAGGGACCCAGAGAAGGCUCACUUAUUCUAUCUGUCAUAUAGUGCACGUCAGCUGGAGAAGGCUCUUUAUGUGCCUAACUCACAUAAUAUGAAACCACUAUCAUACUUCCUCAGGGACUAUGUGAACAUGAUCGCUGCGAAGUAUCCUUUCUGGAACCGAACUCAUGGAUCGAAUCAUUUUCUGGUUGCUUGCCAUGAUUGGGGCCCUUACACACUGACUGAGCACAAUGAGCUAAGAACAAAUCCCAUAAAAGCUCUCUGCAAUGCAGAUGUGUCUGAAGGAGUAUUUAUUGCUGGAAAGGAUGUCUCCCUGCCAGAAACUACCAUAAGGAAUCCCCGUAAACCUCUUACGAAUCUUGGUGGAAGAAGAGUGUCACAGCGCCCAAUCCUUGCCUUCUUUGCUGGAAAGAUGCAUGGUAGGGUCCGUCCGAAACUUCUCAAGUUUUGGCGUAACAAAAGCGAAGACAUGAGAAUUUAUGGGCCUCUUCCCAAAGUCUCCAAAAUAAUGUCCUAUGUUCAAUUCAUGAAAUUAAGUAAAUACUGCAUUUGCCCAAUGGGUUAUGAGGUGAAUAGUCCCAGGAUUGUUGAGGCCAUAUAUUAUGAGUGUGUUCCAGUGAUUAUUGCUGAUAAUUUUGUGCUUCCAUUUAAUGAAGUGCUAAAUUGGAACGCUUUCUCUGUGAUUGUGGCUGAGAAAGAUAUUCCCAAGCUGAGGGAUAUUUUAUUGGCCAUCCCUCUGAGACGAUAUGUUACCAUGCAAACCAACGUGAAGAUGUUGCAGAGGCACUUCCAUUGGAACCGAAUCCCAAUCAGAUAUGAUUUGUUCCACAUGAUUUUGCAUUCGAUUUGGUUUAGUCAGCUUAACCAGAUUGAAGUACCACAAUCGUCAUAAAUUCUUGGGAUUUUUUUUGUGUGGAUUUUAGUCCAUGAAGUACAGUUGAUUUUGGAUGUAGAGUAAACAUGCAUAGCACAUCAAGUACUUAUUCCGAUAAUUGAAUGGUGGUUAUGGAGAAAUCCAACCGUAUCAUUGCAUUGAACUGAGAAGAGGUUUGAAUACUUGGUGGAAAAUCGGUGACAACCAGAAUGAGGACCGCUCUAAUGCAGGUAGAACAAGAAGUUCUCUAAUUUUUGUAUUAUCACACUGAGACAAGAGAAGGUUCAAUGCCCGCGGACAUAGUCCAAGUUUUAUUCGAUCCGUGUGAGGGUGCCAUUCACGGGUUCGAUGAAUUAGUCCGGCAAAGCCCCCUUAUCGAAAAAAAGAGGGAAGGUUCAAUGAACCAGAUUUUCAUUUUUUGUGGUUGUCUAUAAUAGGUGACGUGAGCAGAAAUCUGAUUGAAAAAAAAGGAAAGAAAAUGUUUGUGUUGUGACAAGACCACAUAGACUUUUCUUUUUGGCCCAUUUGUACUAUAUGAUUCGAGGAUUAAUUUGAAUGCAUACUUUCUUGUCAUUUCACGACUUGUAAAACAACAAUUGUGGCUGAUGUUUGGCACUUCUUUGAAAAAUAGUGAAUCUUUUUCUCUGAGAAAUUUCAAUUUUGCCCC